rnacentral:rRNA from 1 species
GUAGGUGGCAAGCGUUGUCCGGAAUUAUUGGGCGUAAAGCGCGCGCAGGUGGGUUCUUUAGGGUCUGAUGUGAAAGACCCCCGGGCUCAACCGGGGAGGGUCAUUGGAAACUGGGGAACUUGAGUGCAGGAGAGGAAAGUGGAAUUCCACGUGUAGCGGUGAAAUGCGUAGAUAUGUGGAGGAAGACCAGUGGCGAAGGCGACUUUCUGGCCUGUAACUGACACUGAGGCGCGAAAGCGUGGGGAGCAAACAGGAUUAGAUACCCUGGUAGUCCACGCCGUAAACGAUGAGUGCUAAGUGUUGGGGGGGUUUCCGCCCCUCAGUGCUGCAGCUAACGCAUUAAGCACUCCGCCUGGGGAGUACGGUCGCAAGACUG